rnacentral:rRNA from 1 species
UCCGCCUGGGGACUACGAGCACCAGCUUAAAACCCAAAGGACUUGGCGGUGCUUUAGACCCCCCUAGAGGAGCCUGUUCUAGAACUGAUAACCCCCGUUAAACCUCACCAUCCUUUGUUUAACCCGCCUAUAUACCACCGUCGCCAGCUUACCCUGUGAAGGGAAAAUAGUAAGCAUAAAUGGCAAAGCCAAAAACGUCAGGUCGAGGUGUAGCGAAUGGGAUGGGAAGAAAUGGGCUACAUUCUCUACGC